UGGAGAAAGAUGACAUGAGGACCCAAAACCU
rnacentral:piRNA from 1 species